rnacentral:rRNA from 1 species
CCUACGGGUGGCUGCAGUAGGGAAUUUUGCGCAAUGGGCGAAAGCCUGACGCAGCAACACCGCGUGUAGGAUGAAGGAUUUCGGUUCGUAAACUACUGUCGGCAGGGAAUAUAAUGACUGUACCUGCAGAGGAAGCAUCGGCUAACUACGUGCCAGCAGCCGCGGUAAGACGUAGGAUGCAAGCGUUGUCCGGAAUUAUUGGGCGUAAAGAGUUCGUAGGCGGUUAUUUAAGUCUGAUGUUAAAGCCCGGCGCUCAACGCCGGCAUGGCAUUGGA